rnacentral:rRNA from 1 species
AGAAUCAACGCUGGCGGCGUGCCUAACACAUGCAAGUCGCACGAGAAAGGGGAGCAAUCCCUGAGUAAAGUGGCGCACGGGUGAGUAACACGUGAAUGAUCUACCUCCGAGUGGGGAAUAACCAGAAGAAAUUUGGCUAAUACCGCAUAACACUUACGAGUCAAAGCAGCAAUGCGCUUGGAGAGGAGUUCGCGGCAGAUUAGCUAGUUGGCGGGGUAAUGGCCCACCAAGGCGAUGAUCUGUAUCCGGCCUGAGAGGGCGCACGGACACACUGGAACUGAAACACGGUCCAGACUCCUACGGGAGGCAGCAGUGGGGAAUUUUGCGCAAUGGGGGAAACCCUGACGCAGCAACGCCGCGUGGAGGAUGAAGCCCCGUUGGGGUGUAAACUCCUUUCGAUCGGGAAGAUAAUGACGGUACCGAUAUAAGACGCCCGGCUAACUUCGUGCCAGCACGCCGC